rnacentral:miRNA from 1 species
AUCGUUCUGGGUGAAUAGGCC